GACUCACUAGGAUGAAGAUUCCUUGGCCCUGGCACAGCUUACCAUUAAGGCAGCCUCAUGAUUUAUCAUCCAAACUAGGAUACUUCAGAAGGACAGAAGGAUUAAUAUUAAUAAUUAUACCAGUGCAACAGGUAUAAAUGGUUUAGUUCUUGGCAAAUUAGGAUGGAUGCCCCACUUCCUAUAUCCCAACAGGCCCUAUUGUCUCACACAAAUGGACUCUCACAAGUGCUGGCUGAAUGAAGGAAUUAUUGACCAUAAGCAACACCAACAACGAGCAUGACCAACUAGGAUCAAGGCAAUCAGAGAAUACAGCAGAUCUGUAAUGAAUCUAAGGAGGCGAGGAGGAGCUAAGGAAGUCGGAGAUCUGAAGAAUACAUGUUAAGAACCAGUCCUCUCCAUUUUAUUAUUUGAGUUGAGUUUGGGGGAUAUAUUUGGGAAUUGAAGAAAUCAAUAGCUGCAUGAAUACCAUUAAACCCAUGACCCAUGAGCAAAA